CGAUGAUCCGGUGCUUGCACCGGGGAUUAGUGGCGAACGGGUGAGUAACACGUGAGUAACCUGCCCUUGACUCUGGGAUAAGCCUGGGAAACCGGGUCUAAUACCGGAUACGACCUUUCACCGCAUGGUGGUUGGUGGAAAGAUUUAUUGGUUUUGGAUGGACUCGCGGCCUAUCAGCUUGUUGGUGAGGUAAUGGCUCACCAAGGCGACGACGGGUAGCCGGCCUGAGAGGGUGACCGGCCACACUGGGACUGAGACACGGCCCAGACUCCUACGGGAGGCAGCAGUGGGGAAUAUUGCACAAUGGGCGAAAGCCUGAUGCAGCGACCGCCCGCGUGAGGGAUGACGGCCUUCGGGUUGUAAACCUCUUUCAGCAGGGAAGAACGAAAGUGACGGUACCUGCAGAAGAAGCGCCGGCUAACUACGUGCC
rnacentral:rRNA from 1 species